UUAAUUGAAGCCAAAAUAGCGGCCUAUCACUGUUAAUGAUACCAUUGAAUCUAGAAUUCCAAUUAAG
rnacentral:tRNA from 1 species